UACGGGGGGAGCGAACGUUGUUCGGAAUCACUGGGCUUAAAGGGCGCGUAGGCGGGCGAUCAAGUCCGGGGUGAAAUCUUUCGGCUCAACCGGAAAACUGCCUUGGAUACUGAUCGUCUUGAGGGAGGUAGGGGCAGGUGGAACUUCCGGUGGAGCGGUGAAAUGCGUUGAUAUCGGAAGGAAUGCCGGUGGCGAAAGCGGCCUGCUGGAUCUCUUCUGACGCUGAUGCGCGAAAGCUAGGGUAGCGAACGGG
rnacentral:rRNA from 1 species